rnacentral:rRNA from 1 species
AUGUCUAUGUUCCUUUUGUCUAAAACCAUCAUAGAGAGGUUGGAUAAACACAGAAGGAAAUUCUUCUGGCAGGUGACUAAAAACAGAAAGAGAUACUACCUGGUUAGAUGGUCAAUGAUCUGUAGAUCCAAGGAAAAGGGGGGUUUGGGUGUGAAAGACCUCCACAGGCAAAAUAUAUGCCUUUUGGUGAAAUGGUGGUGGAAACUUGAGAUGAAACAAGGGCUUUGGCAAGAUAUUAUCAGAGCCAAAUAUUUUGGUAGAGACACGAUAGCCUCGGUUAAGGGGAGAAUCACUGACUCUCCGUGCUGGAAGGCCAUUAUGAAAGUGAAAGAUCUAUAUAUGGUUGGGAGGAAAGUGGUCGUGCAUUCUGGUAACAUAGCUAGGCUAUGGAUUGAUCCAGUUGGCGACCAAGCUCCAUUUGCUGAACAAUUUCCCCAGCUUUUUGCCAUCUGCAAUAAUCCUGAUUGUGUCAUGAAGGAUUGUUUGGAUGCUAACCCUAUCGCCUUCUUCCGAAGGAGAUUGAACUCUGAACUUAAUGCGCAAUGGAAGAAAUUGGUUUUGAUGGUUAGGGAAACCUGUGUAUCUACAGAAAGUGAUAGUAUCAAAUGGGGCCUGGGUCCCAAGCCUUACCAUACCACUAAAGCUCUAUAUACCUAUCUGGAAAGAAACAUUGCUGGUUGCGAUUAUCGCUGGAUAUGGAAAGCCCGUAUUCCUUUGAAAAUUCAAAUUUUCAUGUGGCAGCUAUCGCAAGAUGCGGUGCUGACCAGAGAUGUGGUGAAACAUCGAGGAUGGAAAGGGGGACCCAAAUGUUCCUUUUGUGGGGAGAGAGAAACCUCCCAGCAUCUCUUUUUCACUUGCCCCGUUGCCAGGGUUACCUGGAGAGUAGUUGGAUGCAUGUUUGGCACAGAUUUAUGCUCUAACAACUUGUGGCAAGCAUUCUUUUGGUGUUAUACUUUUUUCCCGGGUGGCGAUGUCUUUUAUACAAUGGGCAUUGCAGCUCUAUGUUGGGCUAUUUGGACCUGCCGCAGUCGAGCUACUUUUGAGCACACCCCUCUCAAAACCCCGUUUGAAUGCAUUUUUUCUGCGUGUGCACUUCUUUGUUACUGGGCAGGACUGAUGAAGCAGGAGGAUGCGGCGAGUCUGAGGGCUGGAGGAGCUCUGCUGAAGGACAACACGUCUCGCAUGAUGAGGAUCUGCGCAACGGCGCACCAGGAUGGAGGAGUGCGCUGA